UCGUUUUAAUACCGGCACAAAGCGUGUUCAAAUUAUUCUUCCAUAAAUCACGUAAUUAAAUUUUUCAACUAUUGAGAUUUAUUUACGGGUAGUUGUGAAUUAUUUUCACUUGUUAAAUUAUUGGAAUAAUUUUAAAGUCAAACUCGCAGAGUUUGCAAUUCAUAAUUUUUGAAAAAAAAUUUUGGAUAUCGACAACGUAUUCACCCUUUGUCUGAGAGUGUUGCUUCAACAACGUUACUUUGCACGCGCCAUUUUCAUUGAGUUUAAAAUCUGCUUUUAAGUCCUUUACGCUUUGUUUAUUUUCUCUCUAAACAAAAAUGAGCAAUCCAGGAAACGCUACAGAAGUUGAGAGGAACUCAAUCGACAAAGAAAAGAGUUCAGGAGAUAAAUCUGAAUCUCUCAAAAGACCGGUAUCAGAGGUUAAUGAUUCAGGGAAAGAAGAUUCUAAACAGAAGUUACAAAAAACAGACAAAGGUUAGUAGCUACAAAGUUGGUAAGAUUGUUGCAGUUUUAUUUUAAUUGUUCUUCCAUAAAGUUAAUGUUGAAUGAAAUAUGGUAAAAUAUCGAAUGUUUUUAAUCCCCAUUCUGUAGCUUUAAUACUUUUCUUUUAAUUCUUUUGAUUUGUGUAUUAGAUCCUUUAUUAUAAUAUAUAAAAUACAAGCAUUCAUAUUUUGAGUUUUUGAUCUUAACUGCCCAUUUAAUUCAAUGAAAAUUGGAAUAAAUUUCAAAAUUUAAUAAACCAAAUGAACUUUGAUUUGUGGAUGUUACGAAUUAAUUUUUUUAUUAAAGUAAAUGCUUUGUAUUUACCUCUACUUGUUAUAAAAACAGUGAAUAUAUAAUUAUUUAAAAAGUUGAUAUUCAAUUAAGGUAUAUUUCUGUGGAAAUGUGCCUUUCAGAAUUGAAUUUAACUCUUCUGAUUUUUUGUAAUAAUUUUAUAAUUUUUUUGAUAUCAAUAGCAUUUGUAUUUUUUUUUUUAUAUAUAUAUAUAUUUGGCACAAUUAUUUUUUGAAAUUUGAUUAUCCUUCUUUCGUAAGCCUGUGUCGUGUUUGUUUAAAGCAUGGAUUCUUAUACUUUCCCUAUAUUAUGCAUUAGUGAUAGUUAUAUGUAGCAUUCAACAUAUAAUGUGUGCUGGAUAAUUCUGAAGAAAAUGUCUGUUUGCAACACCAAGUACUUAUAUGUGUGGAAGUUCAUGAUAGAGACAAAAUUGAGCUAAUUUCAGUGUGCAUGAGCGCUCAUGCAUUUCAGACUAACAAAACAUUUUUAGAAAAUGAUGCUGGAAUCUUAAGGAAUCUCACUUGUUUUAUGUUUAGACUGAGAAUUCUUUUAAUUUUAAAGAAAAAAUGUUUGAUAGCUUGUUUGUAUUAUAAUUGGUAGAUUGACAGCCUUAAGAAGGUGGGAGGGACUGUGGUCUUACUAAUAGUUUAUUCCAUUUUAAUUCACCCUUAUUUAUUUAAUAACACCAAAAUCUCAUCGGUAUCAAUUUACUCUUAGGUUGUCCUCUGUUAUAUUUUUUAUUGCUAUUGCUAAGCGAUUUUUUUAGAGGAAAGUAUGUGCUCAAAUAACUUAAAAUUGGCAUGACUUCUUCAUCCCAUCAUUUAAAGAUUGUGUACUAUCAAAAUUCUUAACAUUUGUAAAGCAUAUGAUUAUAUCUUUGUCACAUUUUAUAUAAAUGUUGUACUAUUAUAAAUACCUUGUACAAUUUAACUUAAAAAAAUUGCUGAAAAAAUUUGUGCCUUCCAAGACUGAAAAGAUCAAAAUUGGUCUGACAGGGAUUUUUAUGUUAAACUUUUGAGUUUUGUAGUUAUUAAGCUCGAAAUUAGACAAAACCAUAAAAUGUGCAAUUAGCUGCAAUCAUCCAUUUGUUAAAUUUUAAUUCCAAAUCAUUAAAAAUAUUUGCUCUGAAUUUGUGAUAAGAUAAAAAAAUUUAAGGUUUCAAAUUUAUAAAAGCCAGUGACAAUAAAAGAAUUUUUUUAUUUAAUACAUAAUGCUCUCCUAACUUUUAUCUGAAUUCUUUUUUAAAUAACAUGAGUAAUGAAUGAAUAUUUUCAUGCAUGUUUAAGAAAUAAAAUUAAUUUCACUAACUAUAUAAUUUAAUUAGAUUUUUUAUUUUGGUACUAGUAUAGUCAUAAAAUUAUAUUGGUGGGCUUUCAUAUUGAGUUCUUAAGUUUGUGACUAUUAGGACUAGGUCUUAAAAUAUUACUGUUAUGAGCAUAAAAUCUAAGGCUUUUAAAGAGUCAUUGUUAAAAUUAAUUGGAUUAUGCAGUUUGUGAAGUGCAUCUGGCUUGUAAUAGAAAUAAAUUUUGCAUAAACUUUGUUGAUAUCUUGUAGAUGACAAGUCUAAUGGCGAUUCCAAACAUAAGGAAGAGGAGGAUGAAGAUGACAUUGAUAGCAAAGAUGAAGAUGAUGAUGUAGGUGCUGAAGGAGAAGGAGAAGAUUUUGAUGAGGAAGAAGGAGAUGAAGAUGGUGGUGAGGAUGAGGCAGAAGAUGACGAAGAAGAUGAUGCGUAAAAUCUGUCACCUGCAGAUUAAAAAAUGAAUUCAUUUUCCAUUCAUAACAUUAUGUAAACACAAUUUUUUUCACUUUUAUUGCCUUGUACAAAAUCAGCACAUUUUGUAUUGAAAUUUUUCGUAAUGCAUUUUUCUAAAAAUCAUAUUAUUUUAAAAUGAAACUGGUGUAAUUUAUAAUGUUUUCUUUUCUCUUUACUUUUUUUAUCUCCCUUAGAAAAUCAUUAGUAUCAUUGGGCCAUUCCUAGCUAUAUGUAUUUAUACUACCAUAUUUUCCCGUGAAUACUUCUCUGUAAAACCUCCCGGUCAAAUAACAGGAUUUUGAUCCUGUAAAUACUAGCCAGUGACAUGCAUAUAUUCUGAACGUGUAUGUGGUUAUUAAAAUUAACCAAUUUCAUUAGUGAAAAGUUUCUGAAUCAUGAUUAUUUUUUAUUUAUUUAGGUGUGAAAGGAUCAGUGAAGAAAUGCAUUUCUUGCUCAUAGUUUUCAUUCAUUCUGUUUUUUACUCUGUGUAAAUUUGUGUGGUUUAAAACAUGAAUAUAUAGAAGCAGGGACUAUUGUUCUCUUAGGAUGAUCUCUUGUAGUUUUGUUGCAGGUUUUUUAUAUAAAAAUUUGUAAUCAGUAAAUAGCUCUAAUUUUGAGCUUAAGCAGUAUUCUUACUGGUAUUGAAAAUAACCCGCCAUGUUUUAUCCAUUUAAAAAUGAAAUAUCGAAUUUUUACCGUUUAAUCAUACCUUGCCUGCAACAAACUUAGUAUAUGUAUGAAUGAUAUUGUUUUUUGUAGACUUGACAAUGAUGUACUUUCUCUGCCGUGUUUAUUAUUAUUAUUAUUUUUUUUUCUUAAAACGUAUCUAUCUCAAUAUAAUCGCCUGUUUUUGAUGAAAUAAAAUGGGUACUUAAGACUGGAA